AUUCCAACAUCGCUGAGUUCCGUAAGGGAACGGGGGAACCGCAUCGCGGAUGUCACAGCGCUACGCUGUUGAUGAACGUGGUGUUUAUAGGGGUGAAUCUUGGGGCAGGCAGCUGCUUCCGAGUAGGGCGACUCUCAAGUCCGAAUCCGUCAGCUAACCUCGUAAGCGUUAAGAGAGAGGUAAC
rnacentral:sRNA from 1 species